CACUCUCUCAUUUACCAGUGGGCACUAGACGGAGACACGGAGAAACAUGGUGAUGGUGUGAGAUGGCAUUUCUCCAUAUUUGCCAUGCAGCAGUCACACUGUGCUGAUCCUGCAUGUAGUCUGGCUCCAGUCAAGCGCAGCGCUGUCCAAGGUGAACCGCAUCAGACCAAGGUCGCCACCUAGCGGAGAUAUUGACGCCUGUUCUGCCACCAAAAUUGGAUUAAAGAACAAGCAUGAGCAUGACCUCCUUAACAUUACAUGGUCUUCUAUUGCUCCCGUGAGAUGUGCCCAUUGCAGCGGGAGGCAGGCAACCUUUCAAUGAUCUUCAGAGGUUAUUGUCACUGAGUGGGCAGGUUAGGUCGUUCUGCAUCACCACACACUGCUGCCAGUGACUACAGAUAGGUUUGCACAUCCACAACCAGCACAUUUUUUAAUAUCUGGUCCUGUAUUGUGACUCAUUUAGAGGGGAAUUUGGCCUUUACAGAUUACAGAGACAGUUAUUCAGCUGGGAAAGAUUCACCCUGCUGAAGUGUCCUUGGGCAAGUCAUUGGAUCCCCAUCAGCUCUAGGACUGCUGAUCCUUUCUGAGGGUGGGAAGCCAAAACAGAAUUUCAUCACAUGAAUCAAAAAAAUGCCACUCAAAUGAAGAGGGAGAGUAGUGUUUUUAUACAUUACAGAUCGAGAGAGGACAGCUAUGGAGUUAGUAAGAAUUUGGCUGAUUUGGAAAUGGAGAGGAGAGGUGUGUGUAGGGUGUUUAUGAGGGUCUCUUGGUGUGCCAUACUGUGCUUUUGUGGGGUUAUGGUCUCUCCUGCAAAAGCAUCUCGUCCAGCGUAAUGACACAGACAAAGCAUCUGGUGCUCCAAUGAAAUUGGCCAAUUUACCCCCGAACAUCGAUUGUCCAAAACUACAUCCCCAGAUGAAAGGCACUUUCCCCUGUUCUCCCCUGAC